GUUAAUUUGCAUUUCGGUGUCAAGUGUCAAUCAUAGAGAUAAAUGGAGGACUCUAGAUGGAUAUAACUCAUUUUGGGAAAGACAUUGCCAUCGAGGGCUUCCCCCAUUUAAAAGUGGUCAACUGGGUGGGGAUUCCUAUGGGUUGGGAGUAAUCAGCCUAUGAUCAGAAAGUAUUGUCUUCUUCAAAUUGGGUUGCCUAUGGUUUGUAAACCAAAGACUAAGAUAAUAUCCAGGAGCUAAGACCAAGAUUUAUACCAGGACAUUUGUCCCAAAACCCAGACCCAAUAAGUUGAGACCAUGACAAGUUAAAGACUGAAUUGAUGUGGUCUCAAGACCAAGACCACUCGAUCAACAGUCCAUGGGCCCUUUCUUCAAUUGUAAGAAACUCAAGUACAUUAGAGUAGAGUAGAGUACAGUAGAGUAGGGUACAGUACAGUACAGCACAGCAGAGUAGGGUACAGUACAGUACAGUACAGCAGAGUAGAGUAGGGUACAGUACAGUACAGCAGAGUAGAGUAGGGUACAGUACAGCACAUCAGAGUAGAGUAGGGUACAGUACAGCACAUCAGAGUAGAGUAGGGUACAGUACAGCAGAGUAGAGUACAGUAGAGUAGAAUAGAGUACAGCACAGCAGAGUAGAGUAGAGUAUAGCAGAGUAGAGUAGGGUACAGUACAGUACAGCAGAGUAGAGUAGAGUAUAGCAGAGUAGAGUAGGGUACAGCAGAGUAGAGUAGAGUAGAGUAGGGUACAGCAGAGUAGGGUACAGUACAGCAGAGUAGGGUACAACAGAGUAGAGUUGGAUACAGUACAGUACAGUAGAGUACAGUAGAGUACAGUACAGUAUAGUAUAGUACAGUACAGCACAGCACAGCAGAGUAGAGUAGAGUAGGGUACAGUACAGUACAGCAGAGUAGAGUAGGAUACAGCAGAGUAGAGUACAGCAGAGUAGAGCAGGGUACAGUACAGCAGAGUACAGCAGAGUAGAGUAGGGUACAGCAGAGUAGAGUAGGAUACAGUACAGCAGAGUAGAGUAGGGUACAGUACAAUUGGGUAUGGUACAAUAGAGUAGAGUAGAGUAGAGUAGGGUACAGCAGUGUAGAGUACAGUACAGCAGUGUAGAGUACAGUAGGGUACGGUACAGUAGAAUAGGGUUCACUACAGUAGAGUAGGCUACAGCAGUGUAGAGUACAGUAGGGUACCGUACAGUACAGUAGAAUAGGGUUCAGUACAGUAGAGUAAGCUACAGUAGAGUAGGCUACAGCAGUGUAGAGUACAGUAGGGUACCGUACAGUACAGUAGAAUAGGGUUCAGUACAGUAGAGUAAGCUACAGUAGAGUAGGCUACAGCAGUGUAGAGUACAGUAGAGUACCGUACAGUACAGUAGAAUAGGGUUCAGUACAGUAGAGUAGGCUACAGUAGAGUAGGGUACAGUACAGUAGAGCAGGGGUUUAUUCCCCAGGGUCUGCCUUUUCACAUAUUGAGAUAGCCUAUAUUAAUUACAACACCAGCAUGAUUUUGUUCAAUUUGAGGGACCUAGGAAAAUGUUGUUUUGAAACUUAUUUCCUGCAUUUCGACAUAGUUUAACAAGACUCCUAACAUAUUUUAGAUAGGCUAUUUAAUAAUGAUGAUGGAUAUGGGAAAAUAAAUUCUCCACCCGAUUUCCCCAAAUAUGUUUUAUGGUCAUUUAUUUGAAUCAUACAUACUGUAUUUUAUUAGGCAAAGUGAACAGAUCAAUUGAUAGCAACAUAGUCACACGUUGUAGAAGAUUGAUGCCAUGUUCACAUGCUAGUCAGAACUAGGAAACUGACAUUGACUUGCUAUCUGGUUGUAGUUAAUCACGUGCCGCAUUCAACGAAUUAGCAAGUUGGAUAUUUCAGAUUUUGCUAGUUCUGACCAUGUUGAAGUGGCAUACUUCCCAAACAACAUCCAAUUUCUUCGAUUCUUCGACUUCAGGUCGUAGCUCAGCUUCUGAAUGUCAGAGACAAACCAAAGAUAUUCCCAUGUGCAUCAGAGUUGCAGUAUGCAAAAGUACAGUACACUAAAGUAGAGCACAGUACAGUAUAUUCCAGUACUGUAUGGCACGUUAUAGAUUUCUAUGUUUUGGCCAAAUACAUUUCAAUGUUUGGGCUCUUGGAGGGUUAGAAUCCCCCCUGCUGUCUAUGCAUCUCAAUACUCUCCACUGGGUAUGGUAGUGGGUGCCAGGCGCACCGGUUUGUGUCAAGAACUGCAACACUCCUGGGUUUUUAAUGCUCAACAGUUUCCCGUGUGCAUCAAGAAUGGUCCACCACCCAAGACACCCAGCCAACUUGACACAGCUGUGGGAAGCAUUGGAGUAAACAUAGGCCAGCAUCCCUGUGGAACGCUUUUGACGCCUAGUAGAGUCCAUGCCCACAUGAAUUUAGGCUGUUCUGAGGGCAAAAAAGGGGGGUGGAAAUAAAAAUGAGGAAGGUGUUCCUAUUGUUGGGUAUACUCAGCAUAUAUAUAUAUAUAUCUACUAUCUUUAUGGUGUCAAUUGUUGCAGUUGUGAGAGUUUCGGUUUGGACAAUUUUGACUUAGCCAGCUAUAUGUUAUCUUUCAAUUGGACAGAUGUACAGUACCAGUCAAAAGUUGACACUUACUAAUUCCAGGGUUUCUUUAUUUUUACUAUUUUCUCCAUUGUAGAAUAUUUGAGAAGACACUAUGAAAUAGCAAAUAUGUAAUCAUGUAACCCAAAAAAAAAAGCAUUAAAUAUAUUUUGAGAUUCUUCAAAGUAGCCACCCUUUGCCUUGACAGCUUUGCAUUCUCUCAACCAGCUUCAUGAUAUAUUUCAAUUAACAGGUGUGCCUUAAAUUCAUUUGUGGAAUGUUUCAAUGCAUUUGAGCCAAUCAGUUGUGACAAGGUAGGGGUGGUAUACAGAACAUUUAUUUGGUAAGAGUCCAUAUUAUUGCAAGAACAGCUCAAAUAAGAGAAACGAUAGUCCAUUACUUUUAGACAUGGUCAGUCAAUCCGGAACAGUAUUUUUAUUUCACCAAUAGUCUAAACCAGUUUCCUAUUAGAAAUUUUAAAUAUACAAUUGAGUAUCUGCAUAUUCCCAAUUGGUGCUGAAAAGGAGGUGAAUAUGCAUGCAUUGGGGGCUCCCGGGUGGCACAGCGGUCUAAAGGCACUACAUCUGUGCUAGAGGCGUCACUACAGACCCCGGUUUGAUGGCCCAGCGUUGUCCAGGUUACGCAGUCAUUGCAAUUAAGUAUGUGUUCUUACUGGUGCACCUAGUUAAAUACAUUACAAAAAUAUUCUGAAUGGUUAUCCAUAGUCUAC
ensembl:lncRNA